rnacentral:rRNA from 1 species
CCUACGGGCGGCAGCAGUGAGGAAUAUUGGUCAAUGGGCGAGAGCCUGAACCAGCCAAGUCGCGUGAGGGAGUACUGCCCUAUGGGUUGUAAACCUCUUUUGUCGGGGAGCAAAAGCCGGACGUGUCCGGCUGUGAGAGUACCCGAAGAAAAAGCAUCGGCUAACUCCGUGCCAGCAGCCGCGGUAAUACGGAGGAUGCGAGCUUUAUCCGGGUUUAUUGGGUUUAAAGGGGGCGCAGGCGGAUUUUUAAGUCAGCGGUAAAAUCGUGGGGCUCAACCCCAUCCAGCCGUUGAAACUGGGGAUCUAGAGUGUGCGAGAGGUAUGCGGAAUGCGUGGUGUAGCGGUGAGAUGCAUAGAUAUCACGCAGAACCCCGAUUGCGAAGGCAGCAUACCGGUGCACAACUGACGCUCAGGCACGAAAGCGUGGGUAUCGAACAGGAUUAGAUACCCCUGUAGUC